UGGCGAUGGCAGAGUAGGGGGCGCGGCAAGCAGCGCCGAGCCCCAGCAGCUGAGAGCAGGUUUGAGGGUGGCCACGCCACGUCGGAGACCCCGCCCCCUGCAGUUGCUCCGCCUCCAGAGUCUAGGCGCCUGCGCAGGCUCCUUCAGACCCGCCCAGCCUCACCGAGCACGCGUGCCCCAACAGCACUCUGAUUGGAGAGUCUGAGCGGCCCGCCGCGCUCUGAUUGGCGGAGCCGACAGUGCUCUGGGCCUGUCAGCCUCUGCGACCCGACUCUCGCGGCCUGGCGGUGGCACCGCGGCGGGGUCUUAGCUCUCAGUCAGUGGGACACGGCCCGACGAGCAGGCCUGUGCGCCUGGUUCCGCCCGUACCCCACUUCCGACGCCUCGGUCAUGUUCUUCAGGGCCCAGGUGAGGCGAGCUCUGCAGCGGGUGCCCGGGAAGCAGCGAUUCGGCAUCUACAGGUUCCUGCCCUUCUUUUUUGUCCUGGGAGGAGCAAUGGAGUGGAUCAUGAUUAAAGUGCGCGUGGGACAGGAGACCUUCUAUGACGUCUACCGUAGAAAAGCUUCAGAAAGACAGUAUCAGAGAAGGCUGGAAGAUACAUCAGAGACCGAUCUUCAUAAGUUAAUAAAAAAUUUGUGGCAACACCACCACCGGGAUCUGAGGCCAAGUUAGAGGCAACACUCCGUGUACUGGCAUCGACUGCCGGUAUACUUCUGUCAGCUGGAACAGUCCAAAACACCAAAUUCAUGUGCAUGUGGCAGGUCAGUUCAAGCACACAUGUUCCAACUGGCUGUAAACCAACUACCAACUACUGAAACUGACAUACAAGUGGACACGAACAGAACUCAAUUACCUACUCGGACAUCUCACUGGCCUAGAGCCAAAAAUUCUUUAUCAAACUCUGGAAUAUAGCCAAAGUUUAAUAACCAUAUAAUGUUAAAUAUGAAAAUGUGGCUGAAGUCUUGAAAGGGCACCGAAUCACUUAUUUUUCAAUAAACUCCAUCUUGUAGGGAAAAAACAACGUAAGUACCAGCUCCAAGUUUCUCCUUUUUUAAGUCUUGGAAGAUUUUUGCUAGUUCAUCUCUAGCUUCCUGGUCUAACACAUUUCUUUGAGCAGCUGCCACAGAGUGGGACUUUGACAGGAGAGGUUGUUGACUGGGUGGUCUGAACGCUCACUCAACUAUUCCAUUGCCUGGGGUGCUAACUGUGGUUUAGCUACCAGACUUUAUUCAGCUUUUAGGAAAGCCCAGUUCUAUCUACUUGUUAAGGUGAGUUAUUCUUUUUUUUUUUUUAAUAUUUUUAUGGUUUACUUAACUUUAUUUUAUAUGUAUUGGUGUGAAGGUGUCAGAUCCCCUGGAACUGGAUUUUCAGACAGUUGUGAGCUGCCAUGUGGGUGCUUGGAAUAGAACCUGGGUCCUCGGGAAGAGCAGUCAAUGCUCUUAACCGCUGAGCCAUCUCUCCAGCCCCAAGGGAUCCUCCCAAACUGACUGCUGUUACAAAGAAUGUAAAUCUUCAGGAAGAAUAUGGUGUUCCACAAUGAUCAGGCCAGAGAAAUUCCAAGAGAUGGUCUUGUAUGAUUCCUUAUAAGAGCCUAACUUCUGAAUCCCAGGCUACUCUUGUUUCCAGAAAUAGUCAACCAAAAACAGUGAGACAGAGGCCAGCAAAAUGGUUCAGCAAGUAAAGAAUUUGGUCCAAGUCUGAUAACUUGAGUUUUCCUGAACUCACAUGGGAGGAGAGAACUGACUCCUACAAACUGUAACCUGACCAGCCCCCUGCCACCACACAAAUGAAAAAGCAAAUAAAACCCAACAAGAACAAAAAACCUCAAAUGCAAAUGGAAAAAAGGUUCGGCUAUUAGCUGCCCUUGGUUAUUGCGACAGCUCCUGACUGUGUCAUAAAGCUGAUGAAAAGGAUUUGAAACAUCCAUGAAGGAAGUAAUGCUCUCGGCUUCAGACUCCCCUUCUUCAUA